GCGGUGGGGGACGGCGGGCGGCGGCGGGGCUCAGCGUGGCUUUCCGUACGGCCUGAGCCUCUUGUGCCCGUGCGGUGGCCGGAGUGCGCCGGUGCGACCCGCCUGGCCUUGGCUGCGCGGCGACUGGGGCCGGGCUCCAGCUCUGUGGCUCCCGCCGGCGCCGACCCGGUGGCUCUGCUGCCUUGGCUGCAUCUCUCCUGCAUAUUUAUGAUCAUCUGUCACAUUCCCUGUCCGUGGACAGUGUCCAAAGCCUAGCUCGGGGGAGCGUGCCAACAGAUCCAGAUGUAGAACUCUCAGCUCCUCCAGCACCAUGUCUGCCAUCACGCCACCAUGCUUGCUGUCAUGGUGACAAUGAACUAAACCUCUGAACUGUAAGCCAGCCCCAAUUAAAUGUUUCCUUUAU
rnacentral:lncRNA from 1 species